ACGCUAUCACUCCUACGGGAGGCAGCAGUGAGGAAUAUUGGUCAAUGGAGGGAACUCUGAACCAGCCAUCCCGCGUGUAGGAAGACGGCCUUAUGGGUUGUAAACUACUUUUAUACAGGAAGAAACACUCCUUCGUGAAGGAGCUUGACGGUACCGUAAGAAUAAGGAUCGGCUAACUCCGUGCCAGCAGCCGCGGUAAUACGGAGGAUCCAAGCGUUAUCCGGAAUCAUUGGGUUUAAAGGGUCCGUAGGCGGUUUUAUAAGUCAGUGGUGAAAUCCGGCAGCUCAACUGUCGAACUGCCAUUGAUACUGUAGAACUUGAAUUAUUGUGAAGUAACUAGAAUAUGUAGUGUAGCGGUGAAAUGCUUAGAGAUUACAUGGAAUACCAAUUGCGAAGGCAGGUUACUAACAAUAUAUUGACGCUGAUGGACGAAAGCGUGGGUAGCGAACAGGAUUAGAUACCCUGGUAG
rnacentral:rRNA from 1 species